rnacentral:rRNA from 1 species
GACGAACGCUGGCGGCGUGCCUAAUACAUGCAAGUUGAGCGCUGAAGGUUGGUACUUGUACCAACUGGAUGAGCAGCGAACGGGUGAGUAACGCGUGGGGAAUCUGCCUUUGAGCGGGGGACAACAUUUGGAAACGAAUGCUAAUACCGCAUAAAAACUUUAAACACAAGUUUUAAGUUUGAAAGAUGCAAUUGCAUCACUCAAAGAUGAUCCCGCGUUGUAUUAGCUAGUUGGUGAGGUAAAGGCUCACCAAGGCGAUGAUACAUAGCCGACCUGGGAGGGUGAUCGGCCACAUUGGGACUGAGACACGGCCCAAACUCCUACGGGAGGCAGCAGUAGGGAAUCUUCGGCAAUGGACGAAAGUCUGACCGAGCAACGCCGCGUGAGUGAAGAAGGUUGUCGGAUCGUAAAACUCUGUUGGUAGAGAAGAACGUUGGUGAGAGUGGAAAGCUCAUCAAGUGACGGUAACUACACAGAAAGGGACGGCUAACUACGUG